GAUGUGCGAGGAGAGUGUCUCUGUUGAAGAUUUUGAAGGAUGAAUGCUAUUGUAGAAAAAUUCAGAUCUUGAUAAUUUAAGUCUAUAAAUCUUAAAAUUUAAAAUGAUUGCUGAUUUUGUUUUUCUUUCACCAUAGUGAAGAAGAAGAAGGAGAAAAAAUAAUUGAGUGUGAUUUUUCAAAAACUAAACAAUGAGAGUUGAUAUAGUGUUGAGGGUCCAUGAUAAGAUCUUGUGAGAUAAUUUGACCUAAAAAUUAAAAUAUGUGGUACACAAUACAAGACAUGAGAAUGUCUUUUAUGUUAGAAUAAGCAUUUUAAUAUAAGUGGGAGAAUAGGAAAGAAAAUGUGAUAUUUUUUAAUUGAUAUUAAAGGAGAAUCCAAUACUAGUAAUACACAUAAUAUUCUUUAAUACUUUAUUUCAUUUCAGUAGCAUCAUAUUAUUUUAUUAUAGUACAUAAUAAUAAGGUCCGUGAAAUUUGAAAGCUAAAAGAAAAUUAAAUUAAUGGGUGUCACAUAACAACUCAGAAUCUAUAUGGUGCUUAAUAAUUAAUAACGACAAAC
rnacentral:lncRNA from 1 species